CCUACGGGAGGCAGCAGUAGGGAAUAUUGCUCAAUGGGGGGAACCCUGAAGCAGCAACGCCGCGUGGAUGAUGAAGGUUUUCGGAUUGUAAACUCCUUUUGUUAGAGAAGAUAAUGACGGUAUCUGACGAAUAAGCACCGGCUCACUCCGUGCCAGCAGCCGCGGUGAUACGGAGGGUGCAAGCGUUACUCGGAAUCACUGGGCGUAAAGAGCGCGUAGGCGGGAUAGCAAGUCAGAUGUGAAAUCCUAUGGCUUAACCAUAGAACUGCAUUUGAAACUGUUAUUCUAGAGUAUGGGAGAGGUAGGUGGAAUUCUUGGUGUAGGGGUAAAAUGCGUAGAGAUAAAGAGGAAUACUCAUUGCGAAGGCGACCUGCUAGAACAUAACUGACGCUGAUGCGCGAAAGCGUGGGGAGCAAACAGGAUUAGAUACCCCAGUAGUC
rnacentral:rRNA from 1 species